GACAAAUUACCUUCGAGGCUUCUACAAAUUAAAAAUACUAAGAGGAAAAUGUAAUUUAAUCUGGUAGCUAUGCAAUAAUCCCAAAAGAAAGAAGCUGGUUGUCCCAGUGGAUCUGUGGUUGGCCCCUCCUCAAUCAUGUGGCUUUGAUCUCAGGAUCUCAUUGACGACUUUGGGAUCCCUUGUUCUUCCUCUAGAUUCUAAGUGAAAAGCACUGGGAGAUGCAUGGAUAGACCGCAGGAGCGUCAGAAAUAGUCCCAAGAACACAUGACAAACGCGUGUUGUAAAUGCUUUAACCUUCAUCCCAACACAGACUCCAGAGACCGCAUGAGAUUCGCAGAGAAAGCCACUAACUCAGAAGAGGCUCCGGGCUUCCCCUGUGCUUCUGCCUUUGGAAGACGCAGGUCAGCCCUCUGCUCAUUUACUCCUCUGGCCAAUUCAGAGCAGCCAAGUUUCACUUAACCCCGCUUAGCAAGAGAAACCGCUCCUCCUCCAAUGGCUAAUAAUUCUUCUGAGUGGCAAACGGUUAACACCCAAUUUUAAUGCCCUGGCUCACAACCCCCACACAGACAUCUGAGCCACAUGUGAGUAGCUACUGCUUUUCUGUAAAUGACAGAAAUACUAAGAGAACUUGACGGAAAUCGUCUCCAUUUCCUUUCGGGGGCGUACUAGGGACCAAUUAAACGGAGCACUUCCACCGGCCUAGUGGUUUUCUGCAGCCAGGGAAGACGGGGCGAUGCGCUGAGGCUCGACGCCCCCCGGAAACAGAGGAGGAGGAAGCAGAGCCCCCAUCGCGCCUGGGAGCGGUUGUGUAGGUGACCACGCCGCUUCCCCCAUCUCCCCUAGCAACGGGGCUUCCGCGUCCCUCGAAAUGGCCAGUUUCGCCCCCUCCUUCUGGGCAAGAUCCUGGGAGCAGGAGGAGAAGGGAGUGCCCAGAGCUGUGACCUGGAGCCGAGGUCCCCCUGGGGAGUCCUAACAGAACAAAGGCCAUCGCGGGGACUGUGGCAGUGGUUACCAGAUGAAAUGAGUGACCCCUUUUAAAGCUACAGAGGCCGUAACAGUCCUUCGCCCUCUCUGGUCAUUCAAGAGCCUUCUGAAUAGGGCUCCAAAAAUCAACUUCAGCCUUGGACCAGAGAACAUGUGCCAGAACAAGCCUGUCUCCAGGGGACUGCUCCGUCACAGCUGUCAGACGAUUCCAGUGCAUUCAGUGUGAUAAAAUGGAAGGCUUACCCCCGCCCCCAAUUUUGUCCUUGGGUGGCUGUGUAAACGCGUUCCCUGUCCACAUUUCGCCAGGAGGGCUAUUUGCUGUAUUAAUAAUGGGGUUAAUGAAGACACGCCGUCAUACGUUGCUUUACCAGAGGGGUGCGCUCUGAGAAAUGAGGGGUACUCUCUGAGAAAUGUGUCCUUAGGCGAUUGUGUGGCUGUGCGAGCAACAUAGGGUGCACGGACUUACACAGAGCUCAGUGGUGUAGCCUACUCCACACCUAGGACAUGUGCUACAGGCGGGGCGCGGUGGCUCACAUCUGUAAUCCCAGCACUUUGGGUGGCCAAAGCGGGGGGAUCUCCUGAGCUCAGGAGUUCGAGACCAGCCUGGGCAACGUGGCGAGACCCCGUCUCUACCAAAAAUACAAAAAAAUUAACUGGGUGUGGUGGCACGACCUGUGGUCCCAGCUACUCAGGAGGCUGAGGUGGGAGAAUCACUUGAACCCUGGAGGCGGAGGUUGCAGUGAAUCGAAAUCCGAGAUUGCGCCACCGCACUCCAGCCCCGGUGACAGGAGGCCCCUGCCACACACACACACACACACACACGACAUAUGGUACAUAACCUAUUGCUCUUAGGCUACAAACCUGUAAAGCAUGUUCGUGUGACAAAUGCCAUAGGCAAUUAUCACACAAUGGUAAGUAUUUGUAUAUCUAAACUUAUGUAGACGUAAAAAAGGUACAAUAGAAACAUGGUAUUAUAAUCUUAUGGGACCACCUUCCUACAUGCGGUCAGUUGUUGACCCAAACAUCCUUAUGCAGUGAAUGACUGUAUAGAUGAUUAUAUAUAUACAUAUUGUACACAUUAAUAUAUAUUAUAAUCUAUGUAAUGUAUAUAUAAAAUAUAAUAUAUAAUGUGAUUAUAUAAUGUAUGUAUAUACUGUAAUUCUAUAUUAUGUAUAAUAUGUGAUUAUAUAUAAUCACAUAAUAUGUGCGUAUGUAUACAUAUACAUAUACAUCAUAGCAGAGGGUCUUGAACAUAGUACACAGUAACUUUCUUCAAAUGAGUUUACUACCAUAUUAAUUAUUGGAUAUGUCUGGAUAAAUUGUAUGAUACAUGAAUAUAUGAAAAACAGAGACUCUACAGUUAGUUUUCUGCAUGAAAUUCAAACUUCAUACUUAGGUGACAUUAUAAGGCUGCAUUUUCAAGUAUGGAUUAAAUAAUGACUUGAGAUACCGCUUUUUAAUUGCAAUUUAUAUUUCUUUUUAAUUGCCAUUUAUAUUACAUCUUAGGUGAUUUGAAAUGUAUUCUGUGAUUUUUAAGAUGGGCUUAAUUAAACUAAUUAAUUGAGCUUAAAUAUGAAACUAUAUGAUGAUGUUUUCCAUAUAUAAUGUAAUGGAGUCUAAGUCAGAGUUAGUUUUUAUUAAAAUAAUUUACAAAAUCAUAAUAAAAUAAUGAAAGCUAACAAGAUUGACUAUGAAUUAAAAGUAAAAUAAUCAUUUCAGCACCUUACUGUCUUCCUGGCAUUUUAUGCAUUUAAUGCCAGACAAAUAUAAAUGUGUAUAAAUGUGAUAUGAGGA
rnacentral:lncRNA from 1 species